UACUUCGAAAACCAAUCUACUGUGUGUGUUGCUGAAAUUGAAAAACCACCGAACCGCGAUGCGGGUAACAGAAACCUCUAUUUGAUCUGAAGCGAACUUCCAGAGUUCUAGGGUUCCUCCAGCACAAUGAACCAUGCCGAAUUAAUUGCCCAAAAGUGCUCCACUCUUCGAUGACAAGCACCCACGGUUGCACCACUCAGUCAUCUCAAACCGGAAGACAUGAUUCACGUCAGGAGCUAGAAUGUGAGCCUGCAAGGGAAGUUUCAAGAACUUUGUGACACUCUUCUCAAGGCCCUCCAUCUUCAUCAUGAGUUUGAAGUUCUGGUAGACAUUUCAGCGGCAGGAGGAGAGGGCCUUGUGGGAGAGCUCGAUGUCAGAGUACUUGAUUUUCUCGAUGGUGGGGCGAAGCUCGCGGAUAAAGAUUGCUCUGCGCAACGAAGGGUCUUGCAAGAAAUGGCUACAAACAUCGCGCAAAAAUCGAAGGCAACAUGCUUGAGAAAAGCUCUAUGCCCUCUGCCAUUGUUGGGGUUAGCUAGGUGGAAGGGGGUUUUCAUAAUAGAAUAUUUACAUUUUUUACUUUUUAUCAUCCGUUCAAUCUAAACCAUCCAUUUAAAGAAUAUUAUGAGAAUCUUAGAUUCAAUGAAACGGACUAAAUUUCUAUUGGUUCA